UAUUAAUUUUCACGAUGUUAGAGAUUUAUGGAUAUUAGGACUUUUUUGUAUAUACAGGUGUUUCAUAUGUUGCCCAGUAUUGUUAGACAAUCACGAAAACUGAAAGAUACAUGGAGAGUGGCUUGUAAAGAUAAAAUGAGAAAGACACUUUGUAACACACCAUUUGUCUCCUGGAGGGCUCUUUAGUAAUGUUAACUGCUAUACUUUUGGUUUGAAGGAAUUGUUUCACCAAUAUGCUUACUGUUGCUUUUGUAAUUGUGCCCUCUGGUAGCCAAUUGGUGUUUCACUACGCGUCCGACACGUCACAAUUUCCUUUGUUUUUUCACUUGAAUUAAUAUUUUCCCAUAAAUUUCUAAAUCUCUUUCAGAAAUAAGAUAAACCUCUGUUGUGUAUAUAACAAGAAUAACUCAAAAAAACGUUAUACCUGUUUAGCCCCAUUGUGGCUCAGCGGGUUUAUGACAUAACGGUCAGAUUUUGGCGGGCAGAGCACAAAUAGUCCAUUGCGUAGCUUUGCGCUUAACAACAAGGGAACCGAACAACACCUGCAUAGAUUAAAACCCUGCUUUCUGUGUUACUAAUACAGCUUUGCGUGAUGGAAACCUCCUCUUAUAAAAUUGCUCUUUAUGUCUGUAAUUUAUAUUUAUAGUUCAUUGUCUGUGUAAAAUGUUUGUUUGUUAUACAUUUACUAUUAUAAAAUUUAUUUCACCACCUCUGACAAGAUCCUUGAAGUUCAGUUUAUUUAACAAUUCCUCACUGAAUGGUGUAAUUUUUUGAUAACUUUAACCACAACCUUGUAGCAAAGAAAUUUUUUGUAUUCUCGCUUCAAAUACUUUGUAACUAGAACUUACCGUAGAACUCUUAUAAUGAGAGAAAAGUCUUCAGGAGCUAAGAUCUUUUAUCUUUAGGCUGACAUUCUUUGUUCCCUGAGCUCUUGCUUACGGAACUGUGGAAACUACAAAGUGAGGAUUAAUGCCACAGCAGCACUAACGAUUCCAACCAAAAGGAUACAUUAUGAUACUCUUUUACCUCAAGUCUGGUUAGAUCUAGUGUCAGCUCUGGAAUCAACACAGGAGGAUGUCGAUUACAAAGAACUCGAUCAUCAUCAGGCUUGGUGUUGUCAGCUCUUUCUUAGUUUGUGUAAUCUAAUUAAUAUAUUGGAACCUCAAGAUGUCUGUCAAGUAUCUCAGUCCACUCUAGCAGCCCAAGAUUACUUACUGAGUCUUACCAGUAAGGUUGUAAAGAAAGGUUGUGAUGACAAAUAUGAUGUGCUGAUACAAGCUUUGAAGCAAAUUAGAAACCUGCUAGAGGUAGAAACGCUGAACGACACUGACAGAGAUUUCUUGAAUAACCUUGGUGAAGCAAUUAAUAUUGUUUUAUCAUCUGAAGAAAGAACAGCUACAAGCUAAGACAACUAUAUUUAAAAAGUAAUUAUUUUACAUAGAUAUGUGUUUUCUGUUACACAUAUUAUUAUAAAAGCAAAAACGUAUUAAAGAUAUAUAUAUGUAUGUGUGUGAAAUGAUAGAGAGAGAAUUGUUAAUUGAUUACUGUAAAAAGACAGAACAGAGUUUAAUCGUGUCACAAAAUCAGUAAAACUUAUAAAUUAGUGAUUGAUCAGAGUGACAGGAUAAGGUCAUGUUUGUCACUAAACUUAAAUAACUGUUAUUAAUUAUUGGUUGAUCAGUGUGAAAGGGCAAUAUAGUAUUUAAUCUUGACGUUACAAAGCCAACUGCAAUGAUGUUGAAUAAAACGUUUAUUUACUCUGAUGUGAAGGUAUGUAAUGGAUGAAAGAAAAGUUGUUUCGUAAAGAGAAUGCAAAUUUUUUAAAAUAUAAAGAUUUUUUUUGUUAUUUAUCUAUUAAUAGAUCACUAACGAUUAACUUUAUACACAAGCAAUUGUACGAAAUGGAUGACUGAAUAAAAAGAUUUGGU
rnacentral:lncRNA from 1 species